UACGGAGGGUGCAAGCGUUGUUCGGAUUUAUUGGGCGUAAAGCGCGUGUAGGCGGUUUCUUAAGUCUGAUGUGAAAGCCCCGGGCUCAACCCGGGAAGUGCAUUGGAUACUGGGAGACUUGAAUACGGGAGAGGGUAGUGGAAUUCCUAGUGUAGGAGUGAAAUCCGUAGAUAUUAGGAGGAACACCGGUGGCGAAGGCGGCAUCCUGGACCGGCAUUGACGCUGAGGCGCGAAAGCCAGGGGAGCAAACGGG
rnacentral:rRNA from 1 species